rnacentral:rRNA from 1 species
UACUAUAGCUUGACACUGAACAUUGAGCCUUGAUGUGUAGGAUAGGUGGGAGGCUUUGAAGUGUGGACGCCAGUCUGCAUGGAGCCGACCUUGAAAUACCACCCUUUAAUGUUUGAUGUUCUAACGUGGACCCGUAAUCCGGGUUGCGGACAGUGUCUGGUGGGUAGUUUGACUGGGGCGGUCUCCUCCUAAAGAGUAACGGAGGAGCACGAAGG